rnacentral:rRNA from 1 species
UACAGAGGUGGCAAGCGUUGUUCGGAAUUACUGGGCGUAAAGGGCGCGUAGGCGGCCACGACAAGUCACUUGUGAAAUCUCCGGGCUUAACUCGGAACGGUCAAGUGAUACUGUCGGGCUAGAGUGCGGAAGGGGCAACUGGAAUUCUCGGUGUAGCGGUGAAAUGCGUAGAUAUCGAGAGGAACACCUGCGGCGAAGGCGGGUUGCUGGGCCGACACUGACGCUGAGGCGCGAAAGCUAGGGGAGCGAACGGGG